rnacentral:sRNA from 1 species
AUGCCAUUAAUCACUUGCCAUUAAUUCUUGAACAAUUCUUGGGUUCACCCGACAAAUUAGAAUUUGACAUGUCAUCUAUUUAAAUAA